CCUACGGGGGGCAGCAGUGAGGAAUAUUGGUCAAUGGACGAGAGUCUGAACCAGCCAAGUAGCGUGAAGGAUGACUGCCCUAUGGGUUGUAAACUUCUUUUAUAUGGGAAUAAAACGUUCCACGUGUGGGAUUUUGUAUGUACCAUAUGAAUAAGGAUCGGCUAACUCCGUGCCAGCAGCCGCGGUAAUACGGAGGAUCCGAGCGUUAUCCGGAUUUAUUGGGUUUAAAGGGAGCGUAGGUGGAUUGUUAAGUCAGUUGUGAAAGUUUGCGGCUCAACCGUAAAAUUGCAGUUGAAACUGGCAGUCUUGAGUACAGGAGAGGUGGGCGGAAUUCGUGGUGUAGCGGUGAAAUGCUUAGAUAUCACGAAGAACUCCGAUUGCGAAGGCAGUUCACUGGACUGCAACUGACACUGAGGCUCGAAAGUGUGGGUAUCAAACAGGAUAAGAUACCCGUGUAGUC
rnacentral:rRNA from 1 species